UCUCGGUUGAUCCUGCCGGACCCCACUGGCUAUCGCGGAUGGGACUAAGACAUGCUAGUCGAGCGUCUCCAAGCUAUGGAAGAGACGCGGCACACAGCUCAGUAACACGUGGCUAACCUGCCCUGUGGGACAAGGACAACUCCGGGAAACUGGGGCUAAUCCCUGAUAGGUGAAAACUCCUGGAAUGGAUUCUCGCUCACAGGACGUUUAGACCAUGCUUCUAAGCGUCGCCCAAGGAGGGGGCCGCGACCGAUCAGGUUGUUGGUGAGGUAACGGCUCACCAAGCCUUUAACCGGUACGGGCCGUGAGAGCGGAAGCCCGGAGAUGGGCACUGAGACAAGGGCCCAGGCCCUACGGGGCGCAGCAGUCGCGAAAACUCCGCAAUACACGAAAGUGUGACGGGGCCAUCCCUAGUGCCAUCCGCUGAGGAUGGCUUCUCCCCAGUGUAUAAAGCUGGGGGAAUAAGGAGAGGGCAAGCCUGCUGUCAGCCGCCGCGGUAA
rnacentral:rRNA from 1 species